rnacentral:rRNA from 1 species
GUAUUAAAGGUGUUGCCUGCCCAGUGAAACAAUUUCAACGGCCGCGGUAUCCUAACCGUGCAAAGGUAGCGUAAUCACUUGUCUUUUAAAUAAAGACUCGUAUGAAAGGCUAAAUGAGGACAAAACUGUCUCUUAUAGUUGACCAGUAAAACUGAUCUCCAAGUACAAAAGCUUGGAUAAAUACAUAAGACGAGAAGACCCUGUGGAGCUUAAAACCCACACUAUAACAAGAAAUAGUAUAAGUUUUAAGUUGGGGCGACUUCGGAACAAAACAAAACUUCCGAGCACAGAGCCACAUGCUCUAACCUAGACCAACAAGUCAAAGAACAAAAUGACCCAGUCUUACUGAUCAACGAACCAAGUUACCCCAGGGAUAACAGCGCUAUCUUCUUCAAGAGUCCAUAUCGACAAGAAGGUUUACGACCUCGAUGUUGGAUCAGGACACCCAAAUGGUGCAGCAG